rnacentral:tRNA from 3 species
GGGCGAUUAGCUCAGCGGAAGAGCGCCUCGUUCACACCGAGGAGGUCGGAGGUUCAAGUCCUCCAUCGCCCACCA